AGUAAAACGGAAAUAAUCUGUUUGAAUUUAGGGAAACCUUUCUCUAAGGCUAAAUAUGAUAUAUAAGCGAUAGCGAAGCAGUACCGUGAGGGAAAUUUUUGAAAUAGUAGUUUUAUAAGCAGCUCAAGUUUAAUUUAAAAGUAUAAUGAGAGCGUACCUUUUGCAUAAUGGGUCAGCAAGUUAAUGUUAGAUGCGAGAGUAUACUCCUAGAUAAACCAAUUAUUAAUUAAUGAUUAAGUAUCUAAUGUUAGACCCGAAGCCUAGUGAUCUUACCAUGAUCAGGGUUAUAAAGGCCCGAACGGGUUAUCGUUGUAAAGAUAUCCGAUGAAUUGUGGUAAGUUAGUGAAAGACAAAACUGACUAGGAUAGCUGGUUUUCUGCGAAACCUAUAUAAGUAGG
rnacentral:rRNA from 1 species